rnacentral:rRNA from 1 species
UCUUGGUCAAUUUAGAGGAAGUAAAAGUCGUAACAAGGUUUCCGUAGGUGAACCUGCGGAAGGAUCAUUACUGAAUUGUCAAACGGGUUGUUGCUGGCCCUCAUAGGGGGCAUGUGCACGCUCUGUUUACACAUCCACUCACACCUGUGCACCCUCUGUAGUUCUAUGGUCUGGGGGACCCUGUCUUCCUUCUGUGKUUCUACGUCUUUACACACACACUGUAAUAAAGUUUUAUGGAAUGUACAUCGCGUCUAACGCAAUACAAUACAACUUUCAGCAACGGAUCUCUUGGCUCUCGCAUCGAUGAAGAACGCAGCGAAAUGCGAUAAGUAAUGUGAAUUGCAGAAUUCAGUGAAUCAUCGAAUCUUUGAACGCACCUUGCGCCCCUUGGCUAUUCCGAGGGGCAUGCCUGUUUGAGUAUCAUGAACACCUCAACUCUCAUGGUUUKCCAUGAUGAGUUGGACUCUGGGGGUUUUGCUGGCCUGUGGUCGGCUCCUCUCAAAUUAAUCAGCCUCCCAGUGUUUGGUGGCAUCACGGGUGUGAUAAAUAUCUACGCUCGCUGUUGUCUGCCAGGUAACCUUUGGUCACAAAGGUUUGCUGGAGCUCACAGAUGUCUCUCCUCAGYGAGGACAGCUUUUUUAACGUUCGAUCUCAAAUCAGGUAGGACUACCCGCUGAACUUAAGCAUAUCAAUA